AUACCGGAUAACAUUUGGAACCGCAUGGUUCUAAAGUGAAGGAUGGUUUUGCUAUCACUUAUAAAUGGACCCGCGCCGUAUUAGCUAGUUGGUAAGGUAACGGCUUACCAAGGCGACAAUACGUAGCCGACCUGAAAGGGUGAUCGGCCACCCUGGAACUGAAACACGGUCCAAACUCCUACGGGAGGCAGCAGUAGGGAAUCUUCCGCAAUGGGCAAAAGCCUGACGGACCAACGCCGCGUGAGUGAUGAAGGGUUUCGGCUCGUAAAACUCUGUUAUUAGGGAAGAACAAUUGUGUAAGUAACUGUGCACGUCUUGACGGUACCUAAUCAGAAAGCCACGGCUAACUACGUGCCAGCAGCCGCGGUAAUACGUAGGUGGCAAGCGUUAUCCGGAAUUAUUGGGCGUAAAGCGCGCGUAGGCGGUUUCUUAAGUCUGAUGUGAAAGCCCACGGCUCAACCGUGGAGGGUCAUUGGAAACUGGGAAACUUGAGUGCAGAAGAGGAAAGUGGAAUUCCAUGUGUAGCGGUGAAAUGCGCAGAGAUAUGGAGGAACACCAGUGGCGCACGCGACUUUCUGGUCUGUAACUGACGCUGAUGUGCGAAAGCGUGGGGAUCAAACAGGAUUAGAUACCCUGGUAGUCCACGCCGUAAACGAU
rnacentral:rRNA from 1 species